UGGCGGCCUGGUUACCCUGGCGAUGGGCUGCUGGGUGCGGAGGCUUGCAGCUCGCCGGUUUUGCCCGCAGAUGCCUUAGUUUCGGGUGCUGCCCUGGACUGGGGUCGUGAGUCCCCUCUUACCAUGUCUGGCUGGCGGCGACCCAGAUGCCACGUGAUGGUCAUUUGAAGACAGGCCUGUCGGAUAUCAGGAAUCCCAAGGUCCAGAUGCCUGCCUUCAGGGACCUGGGCUUUCGGCUCUCAUACCUGGCCCUGGUUGAUGGCCCCGUGCUGAGCAGUGCAUGUGAAGACACACAUGGUAAGGAAAUGGCAGAGUUGCUUCUGGGACUGGAAGGAGACAGGGAAACCUGCCAGAGAGGAACAGGAUUUAGGGGCUCCAGUGCGAGAGGAGAGAAAUGCAGCAUAUGUGCGGCCGUCAUGCGGUGCUGCUGUC